rnacentral:rRNA from 1 species
CCUACGGGAGGCAGCAGUGAGGAAUAUUGGUCAAUGGGCGCGAGCCUGAACCAGCCAAGCCGCGUGAGUGAAGACGGUCCUAUGGAUUGUAAACCUCUUUUGUCGGGGAGCAAAAGACGCCACGCGUGGCGUUCCGAGAGUACCCGAAGAAACAGCAUCGGCUAACCCCGUGCCAGCAUCCGCGGUAAUACGGGGGAUGCGAGCGUUAUCCGUAUCUAUUGGGUUUAACGGGUGCGCAGGCGGAAGAUCAAGUCAGCGGUAAAAUUGAGAGGCUCAACCUCUUCGAGCCGUUGAAACUGGUUUUCUUGAGUGAGCGAGAAGUAUGCGGAAUGCGUGGUGUAGCGGUGAAAUGCAUAGAUAUCACGCAGAACUCCGAUUGCGAAGGCAGCAUACCGGCGCUCAACUGACGCUCAUGCACGAAAGUGUGGGUAUCGAACAGGAUUAGAUACCCCUGUAGUC